AGGGCGCCCAAGCCGACUCAAUGCAUGUAUUGAGCUGCUGCGCUGUACACGGUGGAGGUGAUGGUAUUCCUGUUGGAAUUAAUGAAGUCGGUGACUCCGUGAGAGAGCGUCGACAGUUGGUGUUCAUGUGGCUGCAUGGAACUAGACUGAGUGUUUGCUUAUAGUGCAUUCAUUGAUUGAGUGCAAAAAAAGAUGGCAAGUCUGUCCCGGUUUGGCGCACGGAAUUCUCUCAUCAUUGCUGGCUUUGUUGGCUUUAUUGGCCUCGCUCUCUAUCCUAUUGUUAUCUCUCCAAUUUUUAAUCCCAAGAAAUGGCAAGAUGUACAGAAAGAAACAAGAAAGGGCAUUGAUCAAAAAAGCGUCCAACCAGGUGGUAUGAGAGUAUGGAGUGAUCCCUUCAAACCAAGAGUGGAUAAACCGACAGAUGGCAAGACGUCUUGAUUACACCUCCAUGUACAGACUGCUGUCUUUUAAACAGUCUUUAUAUUCUUUUUGUGGAGCUGUAAACUUGUGGAUAAUAAUAGUUGUAAAUAUCAGGUUCAGGCCGUGGGUACCAGAGGAUGGCAAGGCCAAUGUCAUUUUAAGGAGAAAUUCUGUCAGCUCUUUACUAAUUAAUGUUAGCGGACGUGUAUACCCACAGCAGCCUUUUAGUGACAGCUUUACAGAGGACAUGUACAAAUCUGGCAAUGCUUGUUCACAGUGGCAAGUGGGACUAAACUCUAAUUUCUCAUUACUUUGAUACGUACAUGUAGAUAUGUACAUGGUCUGUCCUUGAAGCAUGCAGUGUUCUGAGUAGGUAUCAUUUAUUUUUCAUGAAGUGCAUUAGUAGAAAUUGAAAAGCACUGCAAAAAUUUCAUUCUCUUUGACUUCUAUAACUUCAGCCGCAAGCUUGACUAUUGCGCAUGUAGUGAUUUACUGUUACCAGCUGAUACAAGAAUGUGCAGCCUAUUGUGGCAGCUCGCAUGUACGUGUAAAUUUAGUAGAAUAAAAUCUGGUUUGCAAUCAGCUCUGUGUGGAUGAACUUCCAAAUUCAGAGACCCAAGAAAUGAUUCCAUUGAAUCUAAAUGUAUAAAGGUGCUGAAUUUCAAUCACCCUUCCCAUUAAAUAUUUAAUAAUAUAACA